rnacentral:rRNA from 1 species
UACGAAGGGGGCUAGCGUUGCUCGGAAUCACUGGGCGUAAAGGGUGCGUAGGCGGGUUUUUAAGUCAGAGGUGAAAUCCUGGAGCUCAACUCCAGAACUGCCUUUGAUACUGAAGAUCUUGAGUUCGGGAGAGGUGAGUGGAACUGCGAGUGUAGAGGUGAAAUUCGUAGAUAUUCGCAAGAACACCAGUGGCGAAGGCGGCUCACUGGCCCGGUACUGACGCUGAGGAGCGAAAGCGUGGGGAGCAAACAGG